rnacentral:rRNA from 1 species
GAUGAACGCUGGCGGCAUGCCUAAGACAUGCAAGUCGAACGAAGUGGCCCAACAAUAGCUGCGUGCUUGCACAAUGCUUGCGAUGGAAUUUCCACUUAGUGGCAGACGGGUGAGUAACACGUAAGUAACCUACCUCAAAGACUGGAAUAAUGUCUGGAAACGGACACUAAUACCGGAUAAUUCAUAUUUAGAUAACUAGAUAUGCUGAAAGGAGCGUUUGCUCCACUUCGAGAUGGGCUUGCGGCGUAUUAACUAGUUGGUGGGUAAUGGCCUACCAAGGUGACGAUGCGUAGCCGAACUGAGAGUUGAUCGGCACAUUGGGACUGAGACACGGCCCAAACUCCUACGGAGGCAGCAGUUAGGAAUAUUCGUCAAUGGGGGAAACCCUGAACGNGCAAUGCCGCGUGAGUGAUGA